rnacentral:rRNA from 1 species
GACGAACGCUGGCGGCGUGCUUAACACAUGCAAGUCGAACGGAAAGGCCCUGCUUUUGUGGGGUGCUCGUGUGGCGAACGGGUGAGUAACACGUGAGUAACCUGCCCUUGACUUUGGGAUAACUUCAGGAAACUGCGGCUAAUACCGGAUAGGAUCUACUGCUGCAUGGUGGGGGUUGGAAAGUUUCGGCGGUUGGGGAUGGACUCGCGGCUUAUCAGCUGGUUGGUGGGGUAGUGGCUUACCAAGUCUUCGACGGGUAGCCGGCCUGAGAGGGUUACCGGCCACAUUGGGACUGAGAUACGGCCCAGUCUCCUACGGGAGGCAGUAGUGGGGAAUAUUGCACAAUGGGCGGAAGUCUGAUGCAGCAACGCCGCGUUCGGGAUGACGGGCUUCGGGUUGUAAACCGCUUUCGCCUGUGACGAAGCGUGAGUGACGGUAAUGGGUAAAGAAGCACCGGCUAACUACGUG